CGCGGCAAGACGGAAAGACCCCGUGAACCUUUACUAUAGCUUGACACUGAACAUUGAGCCUUGAUGUGUAGGAUAGGUGGGAGGCUUUGAAGCGUGGACGCCAGUCUGCGUGGAGCCGACCUUGAAAUACCACCCUUUAAUGUUUGAUGUUCUAACGUGGACCCGUAAUCCGGGUUGCGGACAGUGUCUGGUGGGUAGUUUGACUGGGGCGGUCUCCUCCUAAAGAGUAACGGAGGAGCACGAAGGUUGGCUAAUCCUGGUCGGACAUCAGGAGGUUAGUGCAAUGGCAUAAGCCAGCUUGACUGCGAGCGUGACGGCGCGAGCAGGUGCGAAAGCAGGUCAUAGUGAUCCGGUGGUUCUGAAUGGAAGGGCCAUCGCUCAACGGAUAAAAGGUACUCCGGGGAUAACAGGCUGAUACCGCCCAAGAGUUCAUAUCGACGGCGGUGUUUGGCACCUCGAUGUCGGCUCAUCACAUCCUGGGGCUGAAGUAGGUCCCAAGGGUAUGGCUGUUCGCCAUUUAAAGUGGUACGCGAGCUGGGUUUAGAACGUCGUGAGACAGUUCGGUCCCUAUCUGCCGUGGGCGCUGGAGAACUGAGGGGGGCUGCUCCUAGUACGAGAGGACCGGAGUGGACGCAUCACUGGUGUUCGGGUUGUCAUGCCAAUGGCACUGCCCGGUAGCUAAAUGCGGAAGAGAUAAGUGCUGAAAGCAUCUAAGCACGAAACUUGCCCCGAGAUGAGUUCUCCCUGAGACUUAGAGUCUCCUGAAGGAACGUUGAAGACGACGACGUUGAUAGGCCGGGUGUGUAAGCGCAGCGAUGCGUUGAGCUAACCGGUACUAAUGAACCGUGAGGCUUAACCUUACAACGCCGAAG
rnacentral:rRNA from 1 species